GCUUGCACGGCGCCCGUAGUUCCUGGUGACGGGAGAGGCCACCAAUGAGGAAACUAAUCCAGCAAGAUAUAGGGAAGAGCUUGGUAUAUUUUGUCUCAUUCAAAGUCGAAGUUGUCACCCAGUAGCUUUUCCCCUCAACAGGCACUGAAUUCUACUUUUCCAAGGCUUGGUUAAGCUAUGUGAUGUGUGUACGUCUGGAAAAGAGCUGUUUCUGGAAAAAGGGGCCCCUGUCUUUCUGAGUUGGCAUCAUCAUUUUAAUAUAGCAGGCUGGCAACCGUGGUCAAUACCUUAUGUGUUCAUAUGGAACAUGAAUUAGAGAAGAAGAAAGUUUGGAAAAUGGUUCAAACACAAUUCAAAAUAUUUAAAUGAACAAUUGAUGAUUGAAGUAAUUAAGUCGACUAAUCAAGUUGGCAUUUAUUUUUUUAAGAUUAUUAUUAUUAAAAUUUAUAGAUAGCAAUAUCUUGAUUGUAACUUAACCAGCCAGGAAUAUCCAUGGACUUGAUGCACGAACAUGCUGGUUAUGAGGAAGAAUAAAAGACACAAAUUUGAGGCUAC